rnacentral:rRNA from 1 species
GACGAACGCUGGCGGCGUGCUUAACACAUGCAAGUCGAGCGGUAAGGCCCUUUCGGGGGUACGACGAGCGGCGAACGGGUGAGUAACACGUGGGUGACCUGCCCUCAGCUCUGGGAUAAGCCUGGGAAACUGGGUCUAAUACUGGAUAUGACUCCACGGUGCAUGUCGUGGGGUGGAAAGCCUUGUGCGGCUGAGGAUGGGCCCGCGGCCUAUCAGCUUGUUGGUGGGGUGAUGGCCUACCAAGGCGACGACGGGUAGCCGGCCUGAGAGGGCGACCGGCCACACUGGGACUGAGACACGGCCCAGACUCCUACGGGAGGCAGCAGUGGGGAAUCUUGCGCAAUGGGCGAAAGCCUGACGCAGCGACGCCGCGUGAGGGA